GGCUCUGUGGCGCAAUGGAUAGCGCAUUGGACUUCUAAUUCAAAGGUUGUGGGUUAGAAUCCCAUCAGAGUCG
rnacentral:tRNA from 1 species